UAAUAAGCUAUGAAAGAGAAAAGUAGAUAGAUAGUCAUUUUACAGAGAUUUAAGCAGGGGUGGAAGCUUAAAAAUUGAUGCUAUUGAAGGAAGCUCCGGAGCUAUAAACUGAAACAGCAUAUUAAAAAAAUUGCCAGUAGGUUUAUGGGAUUCUUCCCUUAAAGAGAAUGAGUGGAUUAAUUUUAACUAAUUAAUCAAUUUAGGUGGUAACGCGGAAUUUUGUCUUUCGUCCUAAUA
rnacentral:ncRNA from 1 species